UGUUAUUCCAGUGUAGAAUUGUAUCGUGUUUGAUUUGUUCAGAAGGUGUUGAUUGUUCAGCAGCCCUGACAGUAAUAUCACAGAUUUAGAUUUUAUUCUUAUAAUAAUUUCUAUUGUAACGCUGUCACGAACGCGGGAUGGAAUAGACCCAGAUGCAGGAUGGUGAAAUAAACAGGUUUAAUAACAAAGGAAACACAAAACACGACACGGACUAAAGACAGGACAGGACAACAGUAGAUUCCGCUCUGCACAAGGCAACGCGGCACAGUUAAAUACACAGGGUUAUCACAAUAGGAAACAGGUGUGUAGACAGGGAGGAGCACACGAAGGCGGGGCAGACACGUGACGAGAAACGUAAACACAUGCACGUGGCCAAAGUCCGGGCUGAGUCCUGACAAAACGCACACAGGGACGUAUUUAACAAUUAAUAAUGUAGGUUCCUGUGUUAGCUGUAACUGGUUUCUAAAAAAAUGCUGCAACUUUUGCUCUAUUAAAAAAGGGAGAGGCUUGAAACUGUUUAUAUCUACAACAGCUUAGGGGGAUUUGCCUCAAGUAGUCGUCAUGACAAAAGUUGAUGAAAUUUGCCCACUGGUUAAAGAGGACAUAAGAAAGGUCUACACCAGCAAGAAGAUUAAAGAAAAGAUGCAGGGGUGCAGUAAUGUACUGGGGAUUCCAA